GCUCUGGUAGCACAGUGGCUAAGUGCUUGGCUGCUAACUGUAAGGUUGGUGGUUCGAACCCACCCAGAGGCU
rnacentral:tRNA from 1 species